UAGCAGACCACUUGGAUUCGCAGUGACUGAGAAAGUGAUUGAUGCAGUUUUUCACUAACCUGAUAGUUGACCUUACCUGGGCUGAGUUCUGAGGCGGAUCAUGUGCUAUUUGUAUCACCAGCUUCUUCGUCACACUUUCCCUAGCCCUUAUAAACCUUUUAAGGGCUACAGAUCAGGUACAGUCUGACCUAAAUGGCUCAGGUUUAGAAAGGCAAAUGCGAAACCAAGUGGUCUGUUAGGAGGAAUGCUUGGCCAGACGAGUCGCAGCCCCGCAGAUAAAUCGGAAGGGCAAGUGACUAAUGAAUGUAUGGCUUCAAUAUCAAAACCAACGCCCGUUUCGAAAAACGCGCAUUGGGACAGAGCCUUCUAUCUCGGAUCACGCGUUGACUCAAGCCAAUUCCACACACGUCUGUUGAAUUCUUUGAUCAUCUGAACAUGGCCAUUACGAAUGCUCCGUUUUGAUUUUAAGUUCGCUGAUUUCUAUAAAAACAUUCGGAUGUAGAACAAAGUCUGCAGGAAGAAGGAAAGAAACCUGAGCCACACGAUCCAGUAGAAUAUUGGUAAACGCAGUGAAACCAACAAGAAAUGUUACCCUAUCCACAGAACGGAACCGUACGGCCAAGAACGCAAGACUCAAGUCACAAGUGAAACGGGACUGGUGAAGAGUGAUAGGGAAACUCGAUGAGACAGGGUAACCGGUGAUGCUAUCGGAUCUUGUCUUUGUUAAUUGGCCACCGAUAGAAAUGAGUAUGCGAAGAAAUAAAGAAUGUCACCGUGACGGGGAAAGAUGACAGACAAAACGCCGGUACCUAAUGAGUGAAACGAAAAACUCUCGAACUAUAAACUUGUACAUAUAUUCUUGAACUGGCAUCCUUAGGAACUAAGGUUAGGGUUAGGAGAAGUACUUACGGUUUUUCUUGUAUAAUAAUAUUUCCAACUGUUCUUGCUCUUGAUUCUCGAAAGC